AACGAACGCUGGCGGCAGGCCUAACACAUGCAAGUCGAACGCGUCCUUCGGGACGAGUGGCAGACGGGUGAGUAACGCGUGGGAACGUACCCUUUGGUUCGGAACAACAGCGGGAAACUGCUGCUAAUACCGGAUAAGCCCUUCGGGGGAAAGAUUUAUCGCCAGAGGAUCGGCCCGCGUUAGAUUAGCUUGUUGGUGAGGUAAUGGCUCACCAAGGCUACGAUCUAUAGCUGGUCUGAGAGGAUGAUCAGCCACACUGGGACUGAGACACGGCCCAGACUCUUACGGGAGGCAGCAGUGGGGAAUCUUGGACAAUGGGCGAAAGCCUGAUCCAGCCAUGCCGCGUGAAUGAUGAAGGGCCCUAGGGUUGUAAAAAUUCUUUCGUACGGGGAAGAGUAAUGACGGUACCCGUAGAAGAAGCUCCGGCUAACUCCGUGCCAGCAGCCGCGGUAAU
rnacentral:rRNA from 1 species